CCGAGUUGUAAUCUGGAGAAGCAUUUUCUGUGUCRGACCGUGUACAAGUCUCUUGGAAUAGAGUGUCAUAGAGGGUGAGAGUCCCGUCCAUGACACGGAUCCUGAUGCUUUGUGAUAUGCUCUCGAAGAGUCGAGUUGUUUGGGAAUGCAGCUCAAAAUGGGUGGUAAAUUCCAUCUAAAGCUAAAUAUUGGCGAGAGACCGAUAGCGAACAAGUACCGUGAGGGAAAGAUGAAAAGCACUUUGGAAAGAGAGUUAAACAGUACGUGAAAUUGUUGAAAGGGAAACGCUUGAAGUCAGUCGCGUUGUCUGGAACUCAGCCUUGCU
rnacentral:rRNA from 1 species